GCGUCGACCCGAGCAGUUGCGAGAGCGAAUGAAGCUGCGGUUGCACAGACAAGCUUGUGGAGGUGUCAGUAUGCACGCAUGCGUCCCUGAUUUGGAGCACGCCUCUGGCCUGGUAGGAUUCUCGCUCUGCCCCGACCUCAAGGGUGUUCGUCUAUCUGUGUCGUGCUCGGGACGAUGCACUAAUGCAGGGAGAGAGUACGAUUUUUUAACACAAUCUGCAGUACCCGUGAGCCUGCCCAUAGAUUGUCUGCUAUAUUACCAAGUGCGCUGAAGGAAAAGCUGCUGCCACUGUUGAUGACCACUCUAGGUGAUAUAAUUCAUGUUUGCUUUGUUGUUUCAGUAACUUCCUGUAGCAUAUUGGUUCCAUCUUUUUUUUGCAUCAUGGUACAUUAUUCUCAUCUUGAUAUAUAUAAUUUGGUCAACUGAAGAUUUGAGUGCAGGGUAGAAUUCUUGGUUGAUUUUAGAAUUUCGUUGUUGAUUACUUGGCCAACAGACUUUUAUGAAAUUCAAGGCGUCAUUUAGUGUACUAUAUGUCAUAUUUGUCUUAUUUCUAUACUCACAAUAUUUCGGCAUCGUCUGAACAAAUGAUGCUAAAUUGAUAUAAUCAUUUUGGAUCAGUGUCAUCUUCUCAAUGCUGAACAGCCAAAAUAUAUACAUAGUGAGCAGUUCACCGCACAUGCUCAUACGUCAUAUUUAUGUACUGUUUAACAUGGCAAAAAUUGGUCAAACAUUUAAAUAUUUCUACUGUUUAACACAGCCAAAGUAUAUACAUAAUGAUCAGUCCUCCGCUGCACAUUAGAUCCAGCCUCCCUCCCUUGACACCAUUCUUCUUACUUAUUAUUAUUUCUUUUAAAAAUAUCUUUAGUUUUAUUUUCUAGCUACUUCAAUUCAUUCGUAUAUGGUUAGUUCCAUCGCACUACGAGGAUGAUCCAUGGCUGGUCGCGGACGAUCACCUGCGAGGACGAUUCAUGGCCGGUUGGGGAUGGUCAGUUCCAUCACACUGCGAGAAGAUGAUUCAUGGCCGGUCGGGGAUGGUCACCUGCGGUGAGCACGAGUACCUCCUCCAUAUCCUCCCUAUACUAGCACCCUUGGCGAUGAAAAUGACAGCCAGGAGAAUCCCUCCUUCACACCUCUUUUCCAUCUCUGUCAGAUUGUCCUCUCCAGCAAGGUGUCUAUGCAUGAAUCAUAUUUAUGAUUUCUUUGCAUUUUUAACAAUUAAUAUAGAUUUUUGUACCCACAGCCCGAAGGCCAACCUUAAUACUGGACCUCGAGAGGGGCAUCUGGCCAACCAUGCCGGAGGAUGCAGAGGAGUUGUUUGGGAAUGUUA